rnacentral:rRNA from 1 species
ACAAUCAGGGUAGCAAUAUUCUGGUUGUUCAGCGGCGCAAGGGUGCGUAACACGUGGGUAAUUUGCCAUGAAGUCUGGAAUAACUUGCUGAAAGGCGAGCUAAUGCCGGAUGUGACUUCCGAAGGGCAUCUUUUGGAUUUCAAAGCUGGAACCGUAAGGUCUGGCGCUUCUUGAUAAGCCCGCGGUCUAUCAGCUAGUUGGUGAGGUAACGGCUCACCAAGGCUAAGACGGAUAGCUGGUCUGAGAGGACGACCAGCCACACUGGAACUGAGACACGGUCCAGACACCUACGGGUGGCAGCAGUCGAGAAUUUUUCACAAUGGGCGAAAGCCUGAUGGAGCGACGCCGCGUGGGGGAUGAAUGGCUUCGGCCCGUAAACCCCUGUCAUUUGCGAACAAACCUUACCGGUUAAUACCCGGUGAGCUGAUUGUAGCGGAAGAGGAAGGGACGGCUAACUCUGUGCCAGCAGCCGCGGUAAUACAGAGGUCCCGAGCGUUGUUCGGAUUCACUGGGCGUAAAGGGUGCGUAGGUGGUGAGGUAAGUCGGAUGUGAAAUCUCCGGGCUCAACCCGGAAAUGGCAUUGGAAACUACCUUGCUGGAGGAUUUGAGGGGGGAUUGGAAUACUUGGUGUAGCAGUGAAAUGCGUAGAUAUCAAGUGGAACACCAGUGGCGAAGGCGAAUCCCUGGAAAAUACCUGACACUGAGGCAAGAAAGCUAGGGGAGCAAACAGGAUCAGAUACCCUGGUAGUCCUAGCCCUAAACGGUGCUUGCUUGCUGUAAGAGGAAUCGA